UACGUAGGGGGCAAGCGUUGUCCGGAAUCACUGGGCGUAAAGCGUGCGCAGGCGGACUGAAAAGUCAACUGUGAAAUAUCCGGGCUCAACCCGGAGGGUGCAGCUGAAACUCUCAGUCUUGAGUACGGGAGAGGGGAAUGGAAUUCCUAGUGUAGCGGUGAAAUGCGUAGAUAUUAGGAGGAACACCAGUGGCGAAGGCGAUUCCCUGGACCGAAAUUGACGCUGAGGCACGAAAGCGUGGGGAGCAAACAGG
rnacentral:rRNA from 1 species